UACGGAGGGUGCGAGCGUUGUCCGGAAUCACUGGGCGUAAAGGGCGCGUAGGCGGCGCGGGAAGUCUGUGGUGAAAGCCCGAGGCUCAACUUCGGGUCGGCCAUGGAUACUCCUGGGCUCGAGCACUGUAGAGGCAGGUGGAAUUCCGGGUGUAGCGGUGGAAUGCGUAGAGAUCCGGAAGAACACCGGUGGCGAAGGCGGCCUGCUGGGCAGUAGCUGACGCUGAGGCGCGACAGCGUGGGGAGCAAACAGG
rnacentral:rRNA from 1 species